rnacentral:rRNA from 1 species
CGAUGAACCCACUUCGGUGGGGGAUUAGUGGCGAACGGGUGAGUAACACGUGGGCAAUCUGCCCUUCACUCUGGGACAAGCCCUGGAAACGGGGUCUAAUACCGGAUAACACCGUCGCGGGCAUGGUCACUGGUGAAAAGCUCCGGCGGUGAAGGAUGAGCCCGCGGCCUAUCAGCUUGUUGGUGGGGUAAUGGCCUACCAAGGCGACGACGGGUAGCCGGCCUGAGAGGGCGACCGGCCACACUGGGACUGAGACACGGCCCAGACUCCUACGGGAGGCAGCAGUGGGGAAUAUUGCACAAUGGGCGAAAGCCUGAUGCAGCGACGCCGCGUGAGGGAUGACGGCCUUCGGGUUGUAAACCUCUUUCAGCAGGGAAGAAGCGAAAGUGACGGUACCUGCAGAAGAAGCGCCGGCUAACUACGUGCCAGCAGCCGCGGUAAUACGUAGGGCGCAAGCGUUGUCCGGAAUUAUUGGGCGUAAAGAGCUCGUAGGCGGCUUGUCACGUCGGAUGUGAAAGCCCGGGGCUUAACCCCGGGUCUGCAUUCGAUACGGGCAGGCUAGAGUGUGGUAGGGGAGAUCGGAAUUCCUGGUGUAGCGGUGAAAUGCGCAGAUAUCAGGAGGAACACCGGUGGCGAAGGCGGAUCUCUGGGCCAUUACUGACGCUGAGGAGCGAAAGCGUGGGGAGCGAACAGGAUUAGAUACCCUGGUAGUCCACGCCGUAAACGUUGGGAACUAGGUGUUGGCGACAUUCCACGUCGUCGGUGCCGCAGCUAACGCAUUAAGUUCCCCGCC